ACCAAGGAGUCUAACAUGUGCGCGAGCCGCGGGGCAGUACGAAACCCGUAAGGCGAAAUGAAGGUGAACGCCGGCGCGGUCCGGCGGAGGUUGGAUCCCGUCCCGUCGGGGCGGGCGCACUACCGGCCGAUCUUCUCCACCCUGUCGGCGAGGUCGAGCGAGAGCGUGCAAGUCGGGACCCGAAAGAUGGUGAACUAUGCCUGAGGAGGUUGAAGCCAGAGGAAACUCUGGUGGAGGACCGUAGCGAUUCUGACGUGCAAAUCGAUCGUCAAAUUUGGGUAUAGGGGCGAAAGACUAAUCGAACCGUCUAGUAGCUGGUUCCCUUCGAAGUUUCCCUCAGGAUAGCUGGC
rfam:Ciona savignyi cont_50440, whole genome shotgun sequence.